ensembl:miRNA
CUGAGGAAAUGUAGUAGACUAUAAGUAUACGUGGGUCAGACUGUAUACUAAGUAUACUACGUUUACUCAAGAG